rnacentral:rRNA from 1 species
CCUACGGGAGGCAGCAGUGGGGAAUAUUGCACAAUGGGGGAAACCCUGAUGCAGCGACGCCGCGUGAGUGAAGAAGUAUCUCGGUACGUAAAGCUCUAUCAGCAGGGAAGAAAAUGACGGUACCUGACUAAGAAGCCCCGGCUAACUACGUGCCAGCAGCCGCGGUAAUACGUAGGGGGCAAGCGUUAUCCGGAUUUACUGGGUGUAAAGGGAGCGUAGACGGCAGCACAAGUCUGGAGUGAAAUCCCGGGGCUUAACCCCGGAACUGCUUUGGAAACUGUGCGGCUGGAGUGCAGGAGGGGUAAGCGGAAUUCCUAGUGUAGCGGUGAAAUGCGUAGAUAUUAGGAGGAACACCGGUGGCGAAGGCGGCCUGCUGGACGACAACUGACGGUGAGGCGCGAAAGCGUGGGGAGCAAACAGGAUUAGAUACCCCAGUAGUC